rnacentral:tRNA from 1 species
AAUGAAGUGCCUGACUUAAAAGGGUUACUGUGAUAGAGUAAACCAUGUAAUUAUUUACCUUCAUUA